rnacentral:rRNA from 1 species
CCUACGGGCGGCAGCAGUGGGGAAUAUUGCACAAUGGGGGAAACCCUGAUGCAGCGACGCCGCGUGAGUGAAGAAGUAAUUCGUUAUGUAAAGCUCUAUCAGCAGGGAAGAAAAUGACGGUACCUGUGUAAGAAGCCCCGGCUAACUACGUGCCAGCAGCCGCGGUAAUACGUAGGGGGCAAGCGUUAUCCGGAUUUACUGGGUGUAAAGGGAGCGUAGACGGCAGUGCAAGUCUGGAGUGAAAGGCGGGGGCUCAACCCCCGGACUGCUCUUGGAACUGCGCGGCUGGAGUGCAGGAGGGGUAAGUGGAAUUCCUAGUGUAGCGGUGAAAUGCGUAGAUAUUAGGAGGAACACCAGUGGCGAAGGCGGCUUACUGGACUGUAACUGACGUUGAGGCUCGAAAGCGUGGGGAGCAAACAGGAUUAGAUACCCGUGUAGUC